rnacentral:rRNA from 1 species
CCUACGGGCGGCUGCAGUCGAGAAUCAUUCACAAUGGGGGAAACCCUGAUGGUGCGACGCCGCGUGGGGGAAUGAAGGUCUUCGGAUUGUAAACCCCUGUCAUGUGGGAGCAAAUUAAAAAGAUAGUACCCCAAGAGGAAGAGACGGCUAACUCUGUGCCAGCAGCCGCGGUAAUACAGCGGUCUCAAGCGUUGGUCGGAAUCACUGGGCGUAAAGCGUGCGUAGGCUGUUUCGUAAGUCGUGUGUGAAAGGUGCGGGCUGAACCCGCGGACGGCACAUGAUACUGCGAGACUAGAGUAAUGGAGGGGGAACCGGAAUGCUCGGUGUAGCAGUGAAAUGCGUAGAUAUCGAGAGGAACAUUCGUGGCGAAGGCGGGUUCCUGGACAUUAACUGACGCUGAGGCACGAAGGCCAGGGGAGCGAAAGGGAUUAGAUACCCCAGUAGUC